AACUCUAAAAAUUAUAUGUUUAGUUAACUACAGUUUAUAUAACAGAACUUUUCUCUCCUAUGAAGUUAAAACUUAAGUAAAAAUAUGACACCAAACAAGUAAUAAGGAUUAUCUUGACGUGGAGCAUUCCAAAUCACUCAGAACAUCUGGACAUGAACUCAGAACAGCGAUCUCCUUGUUAGAUCCUUACAAUCCCCAGUCUCACCAGAUCUGUUUUACUAAACCACUGAAAUUUCAAAUAGCCCAUGUAUUCUUAGAUGCUUUUGCUAAAAACUGAGUGUUUCUGCUAUCCUUUUUCUCCCAGCAUUCCUCUUUGACAUGGUAUUUCUUUGGAAGCAAACACAGCUACC